UGUUCUUGGGGUACCAGUUGAUGUCAUUUGAGGAAGAAGAAAUCCAAGUAUAAUUUGAGACCAUUUUCCUUGAUCUUAAAGGAGCCAGCAUCAUUUUGAGUAAUUAUGCAUUAUUUGUACACUGUUAUUUAGUAGGACCUUCAUUAAGAGGGAGUCUCUUUGCCCAACAGUGUAUGGGCCAGUAAAUGGUCAUUAAGCCUGACUACUGGCUGACACAAUAGCAAGGUUUGUAUUUAUUUUCACGAACUCCGCAGGAGCCACAAGAAAGCACUGCAGGAGCACAGAGACAUCUCUGCACUGUGGAUCAAACCAAAGCAAAACACAACCCUUUCUCAGAAAGUGCUGAGAAAUACAUGACAAGCCCUGUCCCCCUAUCCACAGCCACUGCAUGAGAAGCUGCAAUUAUCUAUCCUGGGUUGGACCAGAAGCUCAUACACUUGCACUGCACACCUCUGAGAGCCCCUGCCCUUUGGGAAGAAGUGAACAGCAUUCUUUCCCUUCCAAGCAUCCUCCAUUCUGAGUCUCCGACUUCCUCAGCUGGAGCUUGGAUCUGCAUCUCUGCAUUUCACAUCUCUGCAUUUCACAUCUCUAAGUCAACAAUUUGUUUCGUGGAUUGUUCUGACUGCUGUUUGAACCCCUGUGUAGUUUUUAUCUCCAUGUUAUACAACCGUGAGCUCCACAAGCUAUGAGGUACUUCCAAUAAUCUUUUUGUCUGUUAUAGGCCGCAUUUUUGACCGUGGCAUUUGGCAUCCAUGGUACUGUGGGAAAUAGCACGCAAAAUAUUCUGGCUCGCUCUUUGUCUCCCAUUUCCUGCUGGCCUAUCCAGCCUGCAGAGUCCUGCAUGUUUUGGUGUGUCAUCCAGCUGUGGUCAUUUUGACCUUGUAACAUUUCUGAUCGCCUGCCCUUUGGGAGGGAACUGCAUGCAGUGUUCCAGACCUGGGAUGACCUACACUACCUGGUGAUGCAGCAGUGAUUUCUUGAAUUCCUGAUGUUGCUUCAGCCCUGCUGAGCAUGGGAGCAACCAGAGCAUGCCAAGCAAUGCUUCCAUCAGACUUUAUGGUCAUGAUUGUGCUGCACAGUUGUGGUGCAUAAGCACAAAUGCCUUUGGAGUUAAGCAAAGAACUCUCCUCCCUCCUGCAACUUUCUCCCCACCUCUAGGUUUUGUAUCCUUGUGUGUUCUUGAUUACCCCAUCACUUGAAGUGAGUAGAAAGAGUUCCUCUGACUUCGGCAAGAUUGGAAGUCCUGGCAGCAUCCCUUGUUAAUGACAAGAGGAGCUGCACAGAGAACCUGAGCCAUGAUUAGUGCUGAGUGAUGUGCUCUUCUGGUCCUUAGGAAUGGGAAAUUUUAUGCUCACAGGGAGACCAGACUUAUUCAGGUAGAAGAGAAAUAAGGUGCAGUAGUACCAGUGCCAACCUGGUGAAAAUGUUUUGCCUCACCUUUCACUUUCAUAAAUGCUUUCUGUGAACACAAGCAAUUCAGCCUUUCAGUUUGGUGCUGCUUUCUGCUAUAUCAGCACUUUAGCCAGAACAGUUGGGAGCAUUUAAAGAGUGGCAUUAAUUAAAGGUGACUCAGAAACAAAUGGGAUAUGAAGAACUUGGAAAGAAUGGAAGAGUAGCUAUUGUACAAAAUGCUUUUCUAAAAGAACACCUGGAGGGAUGAACACCUGGAGAGCAUGGUUAGGGAAGCAGCCUUCCCACUGCAGCAGUGCAGUCAUGGUGAUUAAACAUACCUUUUGGAAGCACACACUGCUUUGAAGGGGCCUCCAACCAUCACCAGGUAAAGCUUACAAUGAGUGACUCGUUGCGUGUUAAGAGGCAGGAUGACUCCACUUGCUGUUUGGGUUCUGUACAAAAGGUUAGCAGUACUUAGGCUGAACAAGGGGACUCUGAAGAGUAUAACAAGGACUCUCUUGUUAACUGGUAACUACCAGUAAAGAGUCCACUAGAUAAAGUGGGUCAUAAAUGGCAUCUGAAGUAGUCUUUCACCCCAGCAUAGGAUAUUCCAGCAGAGCAAUGUAGGAAAAGGAUCAGCUCAAAGGAAUUCACCACCACAGGUUAUUCCCAGGCAGCAUCACUGCCUAAGGAGGAGCGGAAAACACUUGGCCUUAUUCUUUGUGAAGUGUUUGUGGAGUUUUGGUCACCAUAGCAUCAAGUCACCAAAUACAGAAAGGUCUCUCCCAUGAUUCCUAACUGAACCCACAGUGGCCAUUGCUGUUUCUAGUCAACCUUCUGGUUCUGCCCAGUGUGUAAUAGCUGAAUGGAGCUUUGCUGGACACCUACAGGCUGCUCCAUCUUCCCAGCAUGCUGCAAACAGAUUACUACACCCAGCAACUCUUCAUGAGCUUUUCUGGGCAGGUGAAAAGAGCAGGUAGUUCUGUGGAUUAUUUUACACAACCAUAGGUCUGAGACAUGUCACCUGCUAUUACCAGGGUAAGGAUUCAGAAACACGGCAUUAUGAGAGCUUGGGUUCAGCUCCCCGUCUCCAGACUUGACCUAUUUGGGAGGAAUUUUUCUGAAAGAGUUGCCAGCUUGAGGCUGAUAACCUAAUAUGAGGAAAUUUUAGCCAAAUGGUUCUGCUGCAAGUCGCAGUAAGAAUAAAGAAAAAUACACUAUUUUGUGCAGUUUUGUUGUUUUCAUACAUAUGAACAGUUCUGCCAUUCCCAUGCUUCAGAGAAAGAUAGUGAAAGUUAGCAUGGCAUCAGGAGAGGCUGACAGAAAAAAAGUACUGCUUCAGGAGUCUGCUUCUGAAAAUCCCUUUGAAAUUCACAUUUGUUCAGCGGUAGUUGCCAAUGUCAGCAGCUGAAUACAUCUGGGCUUCCAUCCGCACUGAGCACAUGCCAGGCUAUGUGUGGCCUAAGAGCAGACACCUCUGCCUCUCCAGAGCUCUCCUGCUGGGAUGGCUACCCUGGAGGGCACCCCUGUGAAGAUAAACUGCCCAGCAAGGCUUUCUGGAGUUGGGACAGAGGGGUGGAUCACAACAAGGAGCACAAGGGGAGAAGAAGGGGGCUGAGAGCUGAGAGUGUGAGCAGAUAGGCUGCAAAUGGGAACCAGAGCAUGGGAAGCACUGGACUGGUUGGAUGAGCAAGAGGUGGGGACCACAGGGCACAGCAGUAACAGCAGGGCUGACUGAAGACAGACCUGUGGGCAUGGGAAGGACUAGGACUGUUUGAAUAGGAGAGAACUGGGAACAGAGGUAGAAGGAAAAGUGGUGGGGUUGGUCUGUGAGGAACAAGGGCUACUGAUGGCUGAGUUUUGUGGUGGGCACCCGGUCUGGACAAGACCAAUGACUGUGAGUGGCCUCCUGCUUUGGCCACCAUGUUUUCUGCCUUCCCCUGGUACUGGAUUACCCAGAGAUCUCAACAUUACUGACACUAAUUACGCUACCAGGAGCUUCAUCACUGCAGAAAAGUCACUUCUCAGAUGCAAACUGGACCACAGAUGGCUGCUGUUUUUAAUGGUAGAAUCACAGAAUUCUAGAACAGCCCAGAUUGGAAGGAACCUUGAAAGAUCACCUGGUCAAACCUUUCACACAGAAGGGAGCCUAGAUGAGCUUAUCUAGCACCCCAUCCAGUCACAUAUUGAAAACUGCUAGUGAUGGGAUCUCUACCAUGUCCCUGAGAGGCUGUAGAACCAGACACUGUGGGUAGGACAACCAGAAAUUGGAGAGCUGGAUUAACAGUAAGUGGAUGUCUUAGUGCUGUAUUGCUGCAAGACGUGGGAGGUUGUCAGUCAGAGCAAAAGGCCAGGAAGCUUUCCUUGACAGCAGCACGACAACGGGCAAACCACUGUUGUACCGCUGCAGGAUGGCAUCUCCAGCCAGCAACAGCAGUGCUGAGGCCACUGUGCAAGGGAGUGGUGAGACCCCAGGGCAUGACCUGCCUCAUUUUGCCCUAGGAUGGUGUCCCAGACUCAUUCAGCACAGAAAACAAAGACUGCAAGGAGGUACUAAUACUAAUCAAGGAAGUAACUACCAGGAAACAAACACGAUUUAAAUUAAAGGGCAGUGUUGUCACAAGGACAAUAGGGUACAAACAGACUUGGACAUAUUCCAGGUGGUAAAGAAAGGGUGGCAUCUAACCAGGUGAGAAGUGAGUUACUAGAAGAGAUCCCACAGGAUGAGCAGUGAGAACAAGGGCCCAAGGGGCUCAGGGAUGCAGUUUGGUUGGGAGACACUGACAGAACCAUCCAGAGCCAGGACUCGGUGGGAAAGGUGAGCCCUUCUAGACCGCUUGCUUGAGCAACUUCCAUUUUGGCAUUUCCUAACUUUUGAGUUGUCUCUCAUCUUCCAGGACAUUUGAAGAGCAUCAUACUCUGUUUUCUGCAGCUUUAACUAGAAUGAGAUCUCAUAUAGGCCUAAUUAUGUACUACUAGUAGAGGAGGAAAAAAAAAGAAACAGAAAAGCAAUCAGUACUUAACAAUUGAGUUCUGACACAAGGAACUUGUCUUACCCAAGGCUGGUUGGGACAAAGCAAACAGUGUGCUGUCUGACUACAGCCCAGCUAGUGAUGGCAAGCCUUUGUGGAAAAUAAACUGCAGCCAUCACAGCUCAGGGGAUUCUUUCUCUGCCAGAGAUAAGAGAAGUUAUGAAGGACAAAGAAUAAACAUCUCUUGGACAGUUCACUGUAGUAUAUAGUCUCUCCUUCAGACUGGGGAAAGAUGAAGAGGUAGUGCCUUUCCAAUGAAUGUUUUAUAUCGGAAGAAUUUAGAUUGUAAAGGAUUUGUUCCUUAAGUGAUACAUAAUUUAUUAAAUCUUUUCAGUUCUGUGAAAUAAAGAGCAAACACAAAUCCUCACACCCAAGCAAACACACAAAUAGGUUCUUACGCAACUCCACCGCCUGUGGCUGCUUUUGCCAGUUUCCUCAAUGGCUUAAUUUAAACAAAAUCCCAGGAUGGGUGCACUCCAGAAUGCUUCAGCGUGACCUCAGCCUGAGCUUUCUUUUAAGGUGGCAGGUCCCAGGGUUUUCCUUCAAAAGCAUAUGUGCUUAUUGGCAUCCUGUGUUGUCUAGGGGAAGGUCAUGAGACCCAUCUUAUUUUCAGAUUGGUGUAGGCUAUUAUAAUAUCUGUGCUGCUUGGACUGCAGUUGAUGUUUCUUUCUUUGUAAGAAAAAAGGGAAAGCAUUUGCAAUUAGCACGUGAUCACACUCGCUUCUUCCCUCCUCGCCCCACUGCAAGGCUUACACAAAGAACACAGCCAAACACAACCUGUGCAUUGCUCAGAAGUAAUAUUCAGUCCAAUAUUUUAUAAGUAAUUGGUAACUAAUAAUUUUUAUUAUAUCGUUGUUAAAAAUAAUAAUAAUGCUUUCCUUCUAUAAGCAGUGUACAUGACACCGUGUAAGAGUUUAAAUCUGGAUAACAAAUAUCACAGAUUAAUGCCUGUACCUUCCAGACCAUCCAAAUGGAAAGGCAAACUCAGAAAUAUUUCUAGUUCUAAGAACUGCCAGCGUAUGUUUUGCUUUUCCUUCCUAUCACCUCUCCAGGGUCUUCCAAGCCUUAUUUGCUAUGGCUUCUCUAGUGGCUGUCAUGAUGCUUCUUAAUCAACAAGUGCAGAAGUCCUUGGGAGUCUUUCAGUAUUUAUCAGCAAGAUUUGGAGUCCUGCCUCUGAGAAUGGUGGGGAGAUUGCUCUUGGUUAAGGCCCAUGCUGCUGAAUGGAUGCCACAGGAGAAAUGCUUCCUCCCAUUAGGAGACUUGGUGGUUUUCGUGAAACAACAGGUAGCAUCGUUUUCCUCCUUUUGCUUCAGCUUUUGAAUGUAUAGAAGACAUUUACUGAUUUACAUGAUCAUUUACUGCACAAAAAGGCAUGUAGGAAAAUUUAAUACAGUUCUGUCUUGGAAUGCAAAUACCAGAUGCUGCAGGGCCUCAGCCAUACAGAUUUUUUUAAUGAAAAGACUCCCUUUGUCCUUGUCACAAACGAAAAAUAAAUUAUAUAUGCAUUUUUAAAAGAUCUCACCACUCCACACUUGGAAUGUGAUAUUACAAUGCAACCUGAAAUUAUGUUUCAAAUGUUAAGCUCAAAAUACUAACCUAAAAAGAUGUACAGGUGGAGGUAGCCCAAGAAAUCUGUCUCUGUCCCAUCCCCAUUCCAUCCUUAAUCCUGGGAGAUGAGCAAAGGAGCAUCUUGGUCUCCAGGAAGGCAUUUGGAACACAAAGGUGGAUUUUUUAGUGCAAGAUUAGCAGCAGAACAGUGUUUCUGUCUGGAAGGGGGGUUGCUGUUGGAGGCAGCAGAAAAAAAUAAUCACCAAGUGCUUUGGGUAAUAUUCAGGGCUUCUGUCAACACCACCCAAAUUACCAGAGCACUUACCAUAGAGGCAAAUCUUGGGAAAUCACGUCAAGUGUUUAGCAACCAGUGAUCUCAUAGUUUUUCUUAUUUGAGCAGUGCAGGAUGAAAGCCUCCAACAAAGCCUGAGCAGACAACUGACAUGUCCCAGCCUGUUUCCUUCAAUGGCUAAAAGAAGUUAUGGCAGCCAUUUAAAUAAAAUCUCCCUCUCUCUGUGCAAUUAUCUCUGAAAAUAGCACGGGGUGUUAUGGGCAGCUUUCACAGGUAGGAGAUAUAUUUGGGGUCCUAUGCAGCACUUCGGGUUUGGGAAGCAGUUUAAUCUGGUCUUGGAAUAUCUCAUCACACUUGAAGGAGACCACUUGCCCUGGAUGUCCAACUUCAGGGGAGGACAGGGGUUUUUGCACAGGUUAGCCCAUGCAGCAGAUGAUAGACACUUUCAGAAGGAAAAUCUGAGUGUGUUUCUUUACAGAGCCUUGUCCUCCAAGCCCUUUUAAGCCUCCUUUUCUGUUAGUCAACAAGCCCCAGUGGCUAUGCCAAGGCAGGGGUUGCAAAGAACAGUUUUUAAAGAAUGUUUUUAUUUCAGUGUGAGAAAUGUCCCAUUAGAUUUUACUUCAUAUUCUAGUGAUUCAAAAGUCCUUAGUGAAAUGUCAUGUAUUUUCAGGCAGGUUUUGCAAAUAAUUUGGAACUAAAUAUUUUAAAGCCUUCUUUCUCUCUCUCCAGGAGCAUAGGCAGCACUGUGAGAUGACCUGGAAGAAAAGACUGUUGUGCAGAAGAUCACUGAAAGACUUCCUGAUAGGAAAAGAUCACUGCUGAAGGGAUGGAAAGGAGCCCACACAGUGGAAGCACAGCAGAGGGGCUGAGUGCUCAGAGAAGUGUGCCUGGCAGCUGGACCAGAGCAAUGGGAAUAUUCCCAUUUAUGUGGAAGGAAUUGGGAAAACUGAUGCUCUGGAAAAACAAAUCUCUACUUUGUGCAUGCUACAAAUUGUCCACUUACAGCUGUAGCCAGUUAUGCUGACACAAUUAAAUUGCCAAGUACGGGUGCAGCCUGAGAAGUCUCCUCUUACAAAACAAUGGAGCAUUUUCCAGUUGCUGGUGUAAUCACGUGCCACAGGAAUCUUGAAUUUGACAAGUUCACUCAAAAGCUAGGUCUUACUAAUACCUGCAAGGAUACAGUUAUGCAGGAUUUCCCCUACAACAACAGCCCCUCCUACCCUGGUCUUUGGACACUGAUUUCCAUCACUCUACUGGAUGUGAUGGGUCAUGGGCUGUCCUGG